rnacentral:rRNA from 1 species
UGCAGUCGAGCGGUAGAGAGAAGCUUGCUUCUCUUGAGAGCGGCGGACGGGUGAGUAAUGCCUAGGAAUCUGCCUGGUAGUGGGGGAUAACGUUCGGAAACGGACGCUAAUACCGCAUACGUCCUACGGGAGAAAGCAGGGGACCUUCGGGCCUUGCGCUAUCAGAUGAGCCUAGGUCGGAUUAGCUAGUUGGUGAGGUAAUGGCUCACCAAGGCGACGAUCCGUAACUGGUCUGAGAGGAUGAUCAGUCACACUGGAACUGAGAUACGGCCCAGACUCCUACGGGAGGCAGCAGUGGGGAAUAUUGCACAAUGGGCGCAAGCCUGAUGCAGCGACGCCGCGUGGGGGAUGACGGCCUUCGGGUUGUAAAGCACUUUCAGUCGUGAGGAAGGCGGUGUAGUUAAUAGCUGCAUCGUUUGACGUUAGCGACAGAAGAAGCACCGGCUAACUCCGUGCCAGCAGCCGCGGUAAU